GUAGGUGGCAAGCGUUGUCCGGAAUUAUUGGGCGUAAAGCGCGCGCAGGCGGUCCUUUAAGUCUGAUGUGAAAGCCCACGGGCUCAACCGUGGAGGGCCAUUGGAAACUGGGGGACUUGAGUACAGAAGAGGAAAGCGGAAUUCCAAGUGUAGCGGUGAAAUGCGUAGAGAUUUGGAGGAACACCAGUGGCGAAGGCGGCUUUCUGGUCUGUAACUGACGCUGAGGCGCGAAAGCGUGGGGAGCAAACAGGAUUAGAUACCCUGGUAGUCCACGCCGUAAACGAUGAGUGCUAAGUGUUAGGGGGUUACCGCCCCUUAGUGCUGCAGCUAACGCAUUAAGCACUCCGCCUGGGGAGUACGGCCGCAAAGGCUGA
rnacentral:rRNA from 1 species